GCUCAUAUCUUUGGCAGCUGUAAAGUUUCUGCUCCUUCAAAGUUCACAACACAAUGAAUGAAUUCCUAAAACACUCUCAAUGCUGGAGAGCGUUUGAUGCUGAAGCAGUGACCAGUUUUUCUGUUUCUUCUCUGGAGAUGCACAAUGAGGGACGUCUGCAGAGACUGAGAAAGAGUCUCACCACAUCCUGACAUGAGGAAAAAGACUUUAUUGAAGACUACAAUGAGAAAAACUAUCAGACAGCAGACGGCUGCAUUCAAGUCUGUAGCUGCUGAAUUCAUGGAUGAAUCAUCUGGCACUAGAGAAGAAGACCAUCAAACAUCUACGUCAGCUGAUGGAGGUCCAAGAGUCUCACCAAACAACCAACCUACAGAGUGAAGACCUCUAACCUGAUUGGACGGCCUCCUAUUCAGCCACAUGCUGUUAGAUUGUUCCAGAUAAGACAAGUACAAGAUUCUUCAGAGCCGUUCUACCACGAGCCUGACAGGAAGAACUCCAACAGCUACUGAAUGUUCCUGUGGUUCCCUCAAGGCUACAGGAGGAGCCCUACGAGGACGAGAAGGUCCACCUGAUGGCGGCCAGUCGCU
ensembl:lncRNA